AAGUCGUAACAAGGUCUCCGUUGGUGAACCAGCGGAGGGAUCAUUACAGGGUCUAACGACUGCCCAAACCCAACCGUGAACUACUCCAACAACCAUAUGCUUCGGCGGGCCGCUCGCUGGGGGAGCCCCGGGCCGCUUCGGCGGUGACCCGCCGCAGGCAUGCAAACCAAACCUUUUCCGAGACUGCUCUGAGAAAAUACUUUCUAAAUGAAAAUAAUCACAACUCAUAACAAUGGAUCUCUUGGCUCUGGCAUCGAUGAAGAACGCAGCGAAAUGCGAUAAAUAAUAUGAAUUGCAGAAUUCAGCGAAUCAUCGAGUUUUUGAACGCACAUUGCGCCCUCUGGUAUUCCGGAGGGCAUGUCCGACCGAGCGUCGCGUCACCGCUCAGGCCCCCCCGGGGGCCUGGUGAUGGGGCCUCGCGGGUGCUCCGGCCCCGCGGCUCUCGAAUGCAGUGGCGGUCCCUCGUGGGCUUCUCCCUAGCGUAGUAAAGCAAUCGCUGUCGCUUCGGGGCCCCGAGGCGGCCUGCCGUAAAACGCACCCCGAUUUCAAUGGUUGGCCUCGGGUCGGACAAGAUUACCCGCUGAACUUAA
rnacentral:rRNA from 1 species